UGGGGAAUAUUGGACAAUGGGCGAAAGCCUGAUCCAGCCAUGCCGCGUGUGUGAAGAAGGUCUUCGGAUUGUAAAGCACUUUAAGUUGGGAGGAAGGGCAGUAAAUUAAUACUUCGCUGUUUUGACGUUACCGACAGAAUAAGCACCGGCUAACUCUGUGCCAGCAGCCGCGGUAAUACAGAGGGUGCAAGCGUUAAUCGGAAUUACUGGGCGUAAAGCGCGCGUAGGUGGUUCGUUAAGUUGGAUGUGAAAUCCCCGGGCUCAACCUGGGAACUGCAUUCAAAACUGACGAGCUAGAGUAUGGUAGAGGGUGGUGGAAUUUCCUGUGUAGCGGUGAAAUGCGUAGAUAUAGGAAGGAACACCAGUGGCGAAGGCGACCACCUGGACUGAUACUGACACUGAGGUGCGAAAGCGUGGGGAGCAAACA
rnacentral:rRNA from 1 species